rnacentral:rRNA from 1 species
UAUAGGGUGCCCGAAGUAUAGGGGCCAUCUUGAUAGGAUAGUUAUGCGAACUGCCCCUAUUAGUAAUCCUUCAAAGUAGUAUAAGAACUCUUACCUUUUGCAUCAUGGGUAAACAAUUAGUAUCAAUAAAAACUUUCCCGAUUAAAAAUAUCUAUCCUCUCUCUCUAAGCCUAGGUAGAAAACUAAGCUAUAAGACAAGGAUGAACACGAUAUAUGGUACUUUUUAAAAUCUGGUUCCCAAAGAAAUAAAACAUUUUAGAAAGAAUUUUAAAAUAAUGUAUUUAGCUUAUGCUGAGUAUACAUUAGUGAGCAACUAGUCUAAAAAUAUUUCAGGAAUAAUAGUCCCCUCUGUUAUAAUAAAUUAUUAUUGACCUAAUUUAUUUAUUAAGCUUCUCUUAUUAUUUGGGUAGUUAAUUCUGAGAAUUAUAACUUGUUUACACUAGUAAAUAUACUUUUAUUAUUUCCUUACUUAAAUAACUUUUAUUAAUUUUAAAUUAAAUAUAAACUAAAUAACUUGAGAUUCUCCAAACUGUUUAACAAAGACAUAGUAAGACUGUGUCUUAUGUAUCUGCCCAAUGAAUAAUUUUUUAUGGCUUUAAAGUAGCGCAAUAAUUAGUUUAUUAAUUGUAAACCUGUAUGAAGCUAGCAUUGGUUAAUCAUGUUUAUUCUUAUCUCUUGAAUCUUAGCUAUCAGUACAAACGCUGAUAUACUCCCCGAAGACGAUAAGACCCUAAGACCUUUACCUUGUUUGGCUGGGAUAGCCCACUUAAUAUAAUAAAGAAACCUUAGUUAUUCUGAACCAAUUAUUUUGCUACACAUAGGUACCUUAGGGAUAACAGCGCGUAAUACUUUUAGAGCUCUUAUUUAAAAGAUAUUCGUGACCUCGAUGUUGAAUUAAGUAAUAUAGUGCUGCAGAAGGUGCUAUUUUAAGUCUGUUCGACUUUUCGUACUUACAUGAUUUGAGUUAAGAUCGACGUAAGUCAGAUUGGUUUCUAUCUCAGGGCUUUUACUUACUUAUUAGUACGAAAGGAAAAUAACUAAUUUUAGGUAUUUUUUUAAAUUAAUUUAUUUA